rnacentral:rRNA from 1 species
GACGAACGCUGGCGGCGUGCUUAACACAUGCAAGUCGAACGGAAAGGCCCUGCUUUUGUGGGGUGCUCGAGUGGCGAACGGGUGAGUAACACGUGAGUAACCUGCCCUUGACUUUGGGAUAAUUUCAGGAAACUGGGGCUAAUACCGGAUAGGAGCUCCUGCUGCAUGGUGGGGGUUGGAAAGUUUCGGCGGUUGGGGAUGGACUCGCGGCUUAUCAGCUUGUUGGUGGGGUAGUGGCUUACCAAGGCUUUGACGGGUAGCCGGCCUGAGAGGGUGACCGGCCACAUUGGGACUGAGAUACGGCCCAGACUCCUACGGGAGGCAGCAGUGGGGAAUAUUGCACAAUGGGUGGAAGCCUGAUGCAGCAACGCCGCGUGCGGGAUGACGGCCUUCGGGUUGUAAACCGCUUUCGCCUGUGACGAAGCGUGAGUGACGGUAAUGGGUAAAGAAGCACCGGCUAACUACGUG